GGGAAUAUUGCACAAUGGGCGCAAGCCUGAUGCAGCGACGCCGCGUGCGGGAUGACGGCCUUCGGGUUGUAAACCGCUUUUGAUCGGGAGCAAGCCUUCGGGUGAGUGUACCUUUCGAAUAAGCACCGGCUAACUACGUGCCAGCAGCCGCGGUAAUACGUAGGGUGCAAGCGUUAUCCGGAAUUAUUGGGCGUAAAGGGCUCGUAGGCGGUUCGUCGCGUCCGGUGUGAAAGUCCAUCGCUUAACGGUGGAUCUGCGCCGGGUACGGGCGGGCUGGAGUGCGGUAGGGGAGACUGGAAUUCCCGGUGUAACGGUGGAAUGUGUAGAUAUCGGGAAGAACACCAAUGGCGAAGGCAGGUCUCUGGGCCGUUACUGACGCUGAGGAGCGAAAGCGUGGGGAGCGAACAGG
rnacentral:rRNA from 1 species